rnacentral:rRNA from 1 species
AUACGGAGGAUCCGAGCGUUAUCCGGAUUUAUUGGGUUUAAAGGGUGCGCAGGCGGGAGAUUAAGUCGGCGGUGAAAUUUUUCAGCUCAACUGUAAAAGUGCCUUCGAAACUGGUUUUCUUGAGUGUAGGUGAAGGAGGCCGGAUUUGUGGGGGAGCGGGGAAAUGCAUAGAUAUCACGAGGAACUCCGAUUGCGCAGGCAGCUUACUAAACUACUACUGACGCUCAGGCACGAAGACGUGGGGAUCAAACAGGAUUAGAUACCCUGGUAGUCAACGCAGUAAACGAUGAUUACUAGCUGUUUGCGAUACAAUGUAAGCGGCUGAGCGAAAGCGUUAAGUAAUCCACCUGGGGAGUACGUUCGCAAGAAUGAAACUCAAAGGAAUUGACGGGG